GAUGAACGCUGGCGGUAUGCUUAACACAUGCAAGUCGAACGGACUCUUCGGAGUUAGUGGCGGACGGGUGAGUAACGCGUGAGAAUCUGGCUUUGGGUUCGGGACAACCACUGGAAACGGUGGCUAAUACCGGAUGUGCCGAGAGGUAAAAGAGAAAUUGCCUGAAGAUGAGCUCGCGUCUGAUUAGCUAGUUGGUGAGGUAAAGGCUCACCAAGGCAGCGAUCAGUAGCUGGUCUGAGAGGAUGACCAGCCACACUGGGACUGAGACACGGCCCAGACUCCUGCGGGAGGCAGCAGUGGGGAAUUUUCCGCAAUGGGCGAAAGCCUGACGGAGCAAUACCGCGUGAGGGAAGAAGGCUCUUGGGUUGUAAACCUCUUUUCUUAGGGAAGAACAAAAUGACGGUACCUAAGGAAUCAGCAUCGGCUAACUCCGUG
rnacentral:rRNA from 1 species